AAAGAAAAUAGAGGGAGCUGUAGAUAUCCCUUUUGUUUUGAAUGCUAUGUUUUCUACUCUUCCAUUUUGCUGCAAUUUCUUUAGAACUCAGCACUUUGGCUAGCUUCACGUUUAGGUCUACGGGUGGACUCUAUGGAUGCACAUUCCUGUUAUUCCUGGGGUAAAAAACUUGCUGCAGUGGUUCAAUGGUAAUUCGAUGGAGUCCUCCAGUUAGUGGCCUGAAGUUAAAUGUGGAUGCUUCUAUUUUAGCUACUCAGUCAUCAACUAGUCACGGGUGUAUUAUUCAUGACAAUAAUGGUAAUCUAGUUGCAACAUGUUACCAUAAAUUGGAUUUUGCGAUGGACAUAGCUGUGGCGGAGGCUAAAGCUAUAUUUAUGGGAUUAUCUUUUGCAGCUGAAUUGGGUUUCUCUGAUGUUCAAUUUGAGGGAGAUUUUUCUGAAAUUUUCGAAGCACUUGUGUCUCGAAAGGAGGUUUUGGACCCUGUUAGAUUGAAUUUUGAAUGCUAUUGGUCAACUAGGCUCUCGGUUCUCCUCAUGUUCUUUUUAUUUCAUUGGAAGAGCUGAUAAUCGUGUUGCCCAUCUGCUGGCUGCUCAUGCUCAUGCUGUUUGUGGUCAAGAACGUUUUGGCGCUAACUCUCAAUUUCCAUCUGCAGUUUUAGAAGCUGCUGCUGUAGUUAUUGCAGCUUGACUUUCA
rnacentral:misc_RNA from 1 species